rnacentral:rRNA from 1 species
AGCGAACGCUGGCGGCAGGCUUAACACAUGCAAGUCGAGCGGGCACCUUCGGGUGUCAGCGGCAGACGGGUGAGUAACACGUGGGAACGUACCCUUCGGUUCGGAAUAACGCUGGGAAACUAGCGCCAAUACCGGAUACGCCCUUAUGGGGAAAGGUUUACUGCCGAAGGAUCGGCCCGCGUCUGAUUAGCUAGUUGGUGGGGUAACGGCCUACCAAGGCGACGAUCAGUAGCUGGUCUGAGAGGAUGAUCAGCCACACUGGGACUGAGACACGGCCCAGACUCCUACGGGAGGCAGCAGUGGGGAAUAUUGGACAAUGGGCGCAAGCCUGAUCCAGCCAUGCCGCGUGAGUGAUGAAGGCCUUAGGGUUGUAAAGCUCUUUUGUCCGGGACGAUAAUGACGGUACCGGAAGAAUAAGCCCCGGCUAACUUCGUG